rnacentral:rRNA from 1 species
CCUUUGACGUUAGCGGCGGACGGGUGAGUAACACGUGGGUAACCUACCUAUAAGACUGGGAUAACUUCGGGAAACCGGAGCUAAUACCGGAUAAUAUUUCGAACCGCAUGGUUCGAUAGUGAAAGAUGGUUUUGCUAUCACUUAUAGAUGGACCCGCGCCGUAUUAGCUAGUUGGUAAGGUAACGGCUUACCAAGGCGACGAUACGUAGCCGACCUGAGAGGGUGAUCGGCCGCACUGGAACUGAGACACGGUCCAGACUCCUACGGGAGGCAGCAGGG